UGGGGAAUAUUGGACAAUGGGCGAAAGCCUGAUCCAGCAAUGCCGCGUGAGUGAUGAAGGCCUUAGGGUUGUAAAGCUCUUUUACCAGGGAUGAUAAUGACAGUACCUGGAGAAUAAGCUCCGGCUAACUUCGUGCCAGCAGCCGCGGUAAUACGAAGGGAGCUAGCGUUGUUCGGAAUCACUGGGCGUAAAGCGCACGUAGGCGGAUAGUUAAGUCAGGGGUGAAAUCCUGGGGCUCAACCCCAGAACUGCCUUUGAUACUGGCUGUCUCGAGGUCGAGAGAGGUUGGUGGAAUUCCUAGUGUAGAGGUGAAAUUCGUAGAUAUUAGGAAGAACACCAGUGGCGAAGGCGGCCAACUGGCUCGAUACUGACGCUGAGGUGCGAAAGCGUGGGGAGCAAACAGGAUUAGAUACCCGAGUAGUCCCUGAGCGGGCUGGCAAGGCGCAU
rnacentral:rRNA from 1 species